rnacentral:rRNA from 1 species
UCUUCCCAUUCCGAACAGAGCAGUCAAGCCCGCCAGAGCCGAUGGUACUGCCGUAAAAGGUGGGAGAGUAGGUCGGUGCCGGUU